GGGAGCGUAGCUCAGUGGUAGAGCUUUUUCUGGCCAGAGUUAACAACGUGUCUGUUGGUCGUGGGUUCGAAUCCCGCCCUCCCGU
rnacentral:tRNA from 1 species